rnacentral:rRNA from 1 species
CGGGAGGCAGCAGUGGGGAAUAUUGCACAAUGGGCGAAAGCCUGAUGCAGCAACGCCGCGUGCGGGAUGAAGGCCCUAGGGUUGUAAACCGCUUUCAGCAGGGAAGAAAAUGACGGUACCUGUAGAAGAAGGUGCGGCCAACUACGUGCCAGCAGCCGCGGUGACACGUAGGCACCAAGCGUUGUCCGGAUUUAUUGGGCGUAAAGAGCUCGUAGGCGGUUCAGUAAGUCGGGUGUGAAAACUCUGGGCUCAACCCAGAGACGCCACCCGAUACUGCUGUGACUAGAGUGCGGUAGGGGAGCGGGGAAUUCCUAGUGUAGCGGUGAAAUGCGCAGAUAUUAGGAGGAACACCAGUGGCGAAGGCGCCGCUCUGGGCCGUAACUGACGCUGAGGAGCGAAAGCGUGGGUAGCAAACAGGAUUAGAUACCCUGGUAGUCCACGCCGUAAACGUUGGGCACUAGGUGUGGGUCUCAACCAACGAGAUCCGCGCCGUCGCUAACGCAUUAAGUGCCCCGCCUGGGGAGUACGGUCGCAAGGCUAAAACUCAAAUGAAUUG